rnacentral:rRNA from 1 species
UACGGGGGGGGCAAGCGUUGUUCGGAAUUACUGGGCGUAAAGGGCGCGUAGGCGGCCUGCUAAGUCGGACGUGAAAUCCCUCAGCUCAACCGGGGAACUGCGUCCGAUACUGGCGAGGCUUGAAUCCGGGAGAGGGAUGUGGAAUUCCAGGUGUAGCGGUGAAAUGCGUAGAUAUCUGGAGGAACACCGGUGGCGAAGGCGACAUCCUGGACCGGUAUUGACGCUGAGGCGCGAAAGCCAGGGGAGCAAACGGG